rnacentral:rRNA from 1 species
GACAGAGGGUGCAAACGUUUGUUCGGAAUUACUGGGCGUAAAGCGCGUGUAGGCUGCUCAGAAAGUCGGAUGUGAAAGCCCUGGGCUUAACCUAGGAAGUGCAUUCGAAACUUCUGAGCUGGAGUUCUGGAGAGGAAGGCGGAAUUCUCGGUGUAGAGGUGAAAUUCGUAGAUAUCGAGAGGAACACCGGUGGCGAAGGCGGCCUUCUGGACAGUGACUGACGCUGAGACGCGAAGCGUGGGGAGCGAACAGG